rnacentral:lncRNA from 1 species
UAAUCUGGCAUACAACGUCCACAUUGGUCGAGUUGAAGAACCUGUUUCAAAAAGGGCGAAUGUGGACUUUAGUUACAACGUACAUCUUAAGGUCAUCUUACACACGAAGAACUUUAUCUUAAGUAUGACAGGAUAACAUGAUUCACUCCUUUCAGUGUCAUUAUUUUCCAGGAAUGGUCAGAGAAACUCACAUACAGUUCACUAUCCAAUAUAAGUCAAUUAACUACAAGAAUAAAAUGGUACUGAAAAUGUUGUCUUGACCAAAACAACAAAUAAAUAUUCACCUAAAUGCAAUAUCUGAUGUUGUAUUAAAUAAAAACUGAAACUGU